GCCCCCGUUGUCUAAUGGUUAUGACGUCAGACUUCUACGUUUAUUACGUUAUCUGGAGGUUGCGGGUUCGAGUCCCGCCGGGGGUU